UUCAAGCAAGACUCAUAGAUUCACCGGAUGAAAUCAUAUAGAAAGCCUAAAUCCCUACCUCAGAACCCAGUCCAAACCCACGAAAUAUUUCACCAAACAGAAACGUAAAACAGUGGCAUCAACCUGAGCACAUUCAUAGCAAAGAUUCACUCCUCAGAAAGUGCAGAAACGGUAUACUUACAGAGAUAAAAACCUGAGAAAUCGAUGGAAGUUGCACAGAUCUAUGGAGGGAAAGUCCUCUCUUCAACAAUUUCCAGGAGUGACGCGUUUGUCACUUCGAGCGUCGAUUCCACAUGCCUGGAGUUGUUUCCGCCCAGCUGAAAACCUCUUGUCCCUU
rnacentral:lncRNA from 1 species